AAGUAGCCAAUCCUAAACUGUUGACCCUGCUCUGUGUUGCUUUUGCCAAGGAAACGCCAAUAAAGUCUCUGGGCUAAAGUUUCCCCUCCCUCUUGCCUUCUGCCUCCUGGCCACCCUGAUGAUUUUCCCAUGUAGCCUUGCGUGGCGUGCUGUGCUCUUAUGGACCUGCACGUGGGAUCUUAGCUCUGGGACCAGGAAUCAAGCCUGCACCCCCUUCACUGGAAGACAGGGACUGCUCCUGACUGCCACAGAAGUCCCUGGAAUAUAAUCUUUGUGUUGUACAAUGCAUGCCACAGCUUUCCUGCUAGACCAAAAACUCCUUAAAGGCAGAGCCCAGGUAACUCCAUGACUGGCUUGAGCACAGUGCUUGACAAUAAACAUUUGUUGAAUGAG